AUGCACGCUGGCGGCGUGCCUAAUCCAUGCCAGUCGAGCGAACAGACGAGGAGCUUGCUCCUCUGACGUUAGCGGCGGACGGGUGAGUAACACGUGGAUAACCUACCUAUAAGACUGGGAUAACUUCGGGAAACCGGAGCUAAUACCGGAUAAUAUAUUGAACCGCAUGGUUCAAUAGUGAAAGACGGUUUUGCUGUCACUUAUAGAUGGAUCCGCGCCGCAUUAGCUAGUUGGUAAGGUAACAGCUUACCAAGGCAACGAUGCGUAGCCGACCUGAGAGGGUGAUCGGCCACACUGGAACUGAGACACGGUCCAGACUCCUACGGGAGGCAGCAGUAGGGAAUCUUCCGCAAUGGGCGAAAGCCUGACGGAGCAACGCCGCGUGAGUGAUGAAGGUCUUCGGAUCGUAAAACUCUGUUAUUAGGGAAGAACAAAUGUGUAAGUAACUAUGCACGUCUUGACGGUACCUAAUCAGAAAGCCACGGCUAACUACGUG
rnacentral:rRNA from 1 species